rnacentral:rRNA from 1 species
AGCGAACGCUUGCGGCAGGCUUAACACAUGCAAGUCGAACGCCCCGCAAGGGGAGUGGCAGACGGGUGAGUAACACGUGGGAACGUACACUUUGGUUCGGAAUAACUUGGGGAAACUCAAGCUAAUACCGGAUAAGCCCUUAUGGGGAAAGGUUUACUGCCGAAGGAUCGGCCAGCGUCUGAUUAGCUAGUUGAUGAGGUAAUGGCUCACCACGGCGACGAUCAGUAGCUGGUCUGAGAGGAUGAUCAGCCACACUGGGACUGAGACACGGCCCAGACUCCUACGGGAGGCAGCAGUGGGGAAUAUUGGACAAUGGGGGCAACCCUGAUCCAGCCAUGCCGCGUGAAUGAUGAAGGCCUUAGGGUUGUAAAGCUCUUUUACCCGGGACGAUAAUGACUGUACCGGGAGAAUAAGCCCCGGCUAACUUCGUGCCAGCCGCCGCUGUAA